rnacentral:pre_miRNA from 18 species
GACUGCUUGGCACUCGCGAACACCGCGGUCGAAGUUACUCGCGGAGUUAGCCAGUGUCAACCAGAUG